AGAUUGAAUGGUUAGAUG
rnacentral:tRNA from 1 species